CGCAUAUGAUAUACAAACUUUCCUUCAGUUAUAAUCAAAUGAUAAUACCACGGUAAUAUCAAUGUACAUUUAUGUAGUCUUGUAAAUUGUUUUGAGUAAACGAUUCUUAUUGUGUAAUUAUAUAACAUGGUCACAGUGAAUACAAUAAUUUCUACAGAACCUAAUACCUCAUUACCUCAGUUUUCAAAUAAUUAUCGUUACAAUGAGAAUGGAAUUUACUCCUGCGACACAUACGUAGACGAUAACCCGUACAAAGGAACAAAAGAUAGGAACACGAUAUCGGCUAUACAAAUUGUUAUAUUUCUAUUAUUUGUAUG